AUUACAUGUUGCAAUGUUUUUCAUUUUGAUUAAAGAGAAAACUAUUAACAAUACCUGUUAACCUAGUGUUAUAAUUAUGAGUUGCGCUAUUUAAGGUUAGUCUGUGUCGUUUUUGGUUAAUAGUUACCAAAGCUAUGAAAGCUGCUUUCUCUUCUCAUCCUCGCAGCCGUUUAUGAAGAGCAAAUCAUAAAAAUGUAUUGAAUUCUCCCGAAACAAACGAUCAGGAAAUGCGCCAGACAUGCAACAGACAUGCAACUAUUAGACUUUGUAAUUACCUGAUAAAAGUGUGCCAUGAUUAUAGAAAACAAAGCCGAUAAUAGUUUUUCAAAAGCCUACAUUGAUACACUUUUUUUUUAAUAAUAAAUUUGAAAAUGGAAUUAAUAAUAAACAUU